rnacentral:lncRNA from 1 species
UGAAUGAGUGGAAUCAGUGACUCAGACAAAGCCACUGUUGCACAACUGUAUGCAUGCACAGUGAACUCUGCAGACUCUGCAGAUGGUUCCUGUAAAUAGCGCUUAAAACCACAGUGGAAAAGCCACAUGCUCCUGAUACACUUGGGGGGACAUAAAGGGAAACCCACACACCCAAGGAGGAGGGCUCUGGCCAUGCAAGGCUGAAGGCCCAGUGUACUGAUAUGAAAACUGAAGCUCAGACAGAAGAGGCGACGUUGCUUUCUUAACCACUGGAUUUGCAGUGCUGUGGUUCUCAGAAGAGGCCAGGACAGGUUAAUCCACUCACUUGGGAGGUUGAAUGUACAGCUGGUAUAAAAAUGGUGCUUUGUCGUCAUGAAGAAGGUGUAUUCUGGGAUCAAACCACCUGGCUGGAGAUGCUUACUAACCUCAGUUUCUUCAUCUGACCUUACCUUUCUAAAAGAAUAAGAAGAAGAUGAUACAUAUUCCUCUAAAGUCCCAACAGGAACCUUUUCCCCUCACUCCCUCCCCAGAGAUGUGUAUCAUUUCCAUGAGUGUCUGUACUUUUACAACAUGUGCAUAUUAAUAAACAAAAUAUGACAAAUUAUUUUGUCUUAAUAUUUGCAUAAAUCUAGCCAUACUCUACACCACUUUUGCAACUUUCACUAUUAUAUAUUUUGAAGAUUAUCCGUGUUUAUGCACAUAAGUUUAUCAUUUUAACUGUUGAAUAGUGUUUCAUUAUAUGAAUUAACCAUAAUUCAUCUAUUUCCCUGAGUGACAAUUAGGUUUCUUUUUGUUUUUAUGCUCUGAUGAACAAUCUUGCAAUUAUUAUCUUUGUAUAUGUCUUCAUGUAUAAGAAAUUCUCCAGGGUAGACACUUAGAAGUAAAGGGUCUGACUCAGAGAGUCUGUGUAUUUUAAAAUGUAUUGGUUAUUGUCAAAUUGUUCCUCAAAGUAGAUGUACCAAUUUACAUUCCUACAGUGGUAUAUAACAGUUUUUUUUUCUCCACAUCCUCUUCAACACUCGUCAUUACCAG